rnacentral:rRNA from 2 species
CACCUGGAAACAGAUGCUAAUACCGCAUAACAACUUGGACCGCAUGGUCCGAGUUUGAAAGAUGGCUUCGGCUAUCACUUUUGGAUGGUCCCGCGGCGUAUUAGCUAGAUGGUGGGGUAACGGCUCACCAUGGCAAUGAUACGUAGCCGACCUGAGAGGGUAAUCGGCCACAUUGGGACUGAGACACGGCCCAAACUCCUACGGGAGGCAGCAGUAGGGAAUCUUCCACAAUGGACGAAAGUCUGAUGGAGCAACGCCGCGUGAGUGAAGAAGGGUUUCGGCUCGUAAAACUCUGUUGUUAAAGAAGAACAUAUCUGAGAGUAACUGUUCAGGUAUUGACGGUAUUUAACCAGAAAGCCACGGCUAACUACGUGCCAGCAGCCGCGGUAAUACGUAGGUGGCAAGCGUUGUCCGGAUUUAUUGGGCGUAAAGCGAGCGCAGGCGGUUUUUUAAGUCUGAUGUGAAAGCCUUCGGCUCAACCGAAGAAGUGCAUCGGAAACUGGGAAACUUGAGUGCAGAAGAGGACAGUGGAACUCCAUGUGUAGCGGUGAAAUGCGUAGAUAUAUGGAAGAACACCAGUGGCGAAGGCGGCUGUCUGGUCUGUAACUGACGCUGAGGCUCGAAAGUAUGGGUAGCAAACAGGAUUAGAUACCCUGGUAGUCCAUACCGUAAACGAUGAAUGCUAAGUGUUGGAGGGUUUCCGCCCUUCAGUGCUGCAGCUAACGCAUUAAGCAUUCCGCCUGGGGAGUACGGCCGCAAGGCUGAAACUCAAAGGAAUUGACGGGGGCCCGCACAAGCGGUGGAGCAUGUGGUUUAAUUCGAAGCUACGCGAAGAACCUUACCAGGUCUUGACAUACUAUGCAAAUCUAAGAGAUUAGACGUUCCCUUCGGGGACAUGGAUACAGGUGGUGCAUGGUUGUCGUCAGCUCGUGUCGUGAGAUGUUGGGUUAAGUCCCGCAACGAGCGCAACCCUUAUUAUCAGUUGCCAGCAUUAAGUUGGGCACUCUGGUGAGACUGCCGGUGACAAACCGGAGGAAGGUGGGGAUGACGUCAAAUCAUCAUGCCCCUUAUGACCUGGGCUACACACGUGCUACAAUGGAUGGUACAACGAGUUGCGAACUCGCGAGAGUAAGCUAAUCUCUUAAAGCCAUUCUCAGUUCGGAUUGUAGGCUGCAACUCGCCUACAUGAAGUCGGAAUCGCUAGUAAUCGCGGAUCAGCAUGCCGCGGUGAAUACGUUCCCGGGCCUUGUACACACCG